CCUACGGGAGGCUGCAGUGGGGGAUAUUGCACAAUGGGGGAAACCCUGAUGCAGCGACGCCGCGUGGGUGAAGAAGCGCCUCCGCGCGUUAAGCCCCGUCAGCAGGGAAGAAAAUGACGGUACCUGAAGCAGCAGCCCCGGCUAACUACGUGCCAGCAGCCGCGGUCACAGGUAGGGGGGAAGCGUUAUCCGGGUUUACUGGGGGUUAAGGGGGAGCAGGCGGCGAUGCAAGCCAGGGGUGAAAGCCCGGGGCCCAACCCCGGGACUGCUCGUGUAACUGCGUGGCUAGAGUGGAGGAGGGGCAGGCGGAAUUCGUGGUGUAGCGGUGAAAUGCGUAGAUAUCAGGAGGAACACCGGUGGCGAAGGCGGCCUGCUGGACUGCAACUGACGUUGAGGCCCGAAAGCGUGGGGAGCGAACAGGAUUAGAUACCCGAGUAGUC
rnacentral:rRNA from 1 species